GACGAACCGUGCGAACGUUGUUCGGAAUCACUGGGCUUAAAGGGCGCGUAGGCGGCUUGUCAAGUCAGGGGUGAAAUCCUGCAGCUUAACUGUAGAAGUGCCUUUGAUACUGAUGAGCUCGAGGGAGGUAGGGGUGGGUGGAACUUCUGGUGGAGCGGUGAAAUGCGUUGAUAUCAGAAGGAACGCCGGUGGCGAAAGCGACCCACUGGAUCUCUACUGACGCUGAGGCGCGAAAGCUAGGGGAGCAAACGGG
rnacentral:rRNA from 2 species